AGAUCAAAGUCCAAAUAAUCAUAACAUAACCCACAGAUUGCCAACAUAAAUCAAACUCAUUAUGUGUCAUAAUAUCUUGUGAUCUUUUCAUAUAUAAUCUCAAAAUUUAAAAAAAUUAUUGAGAUAACUUACACUAUAAUCAGUAUAAGCUUACGUCCCAAUAUCCGUAGUGUCUAUCCACCUAUACUCAUCUUAUAUCUAAUUCGAUCUGUCAUACUUUAUCUACUUAUACUCUGAUACCAUAUUAAUUGUCACAUCCCUGAUCCAAGAUCGUGAGCCAAGAAUUUUAGCAACUGCCGCAUACUCAUAAAAAGCUCUUUCUAUAAGUAUGCAAGGCAUCUUAUCAUGCUAUCAUAAAGUAAUAUCGAAAUAAUUAAUCAAUAAUUUAAGUCCAAAAUCUAAAUCUAGAUUUUAAUUUUAAUAUAUCAAUAAAUUUAAUAAUA
rnacentral:lncRNA from 1 species